rnacentral:antisense_RNA from 1 species
CGAGUCCAGGACGGGCAGCCCCAUUGGGCAGCCUGGGGCAGCUCUUCCGUCGUUCCUUGCAGACCCUAGGUCAGGCCAGAAAACACCUCUAUGGCCCUUCCCUGUGUCCCACCACCGGAUAGGACCUCAAAGGCCUGGGGUCCCCAGGAUGGCCCUCAAACCGACUGGUGCCCUUGCAGGCUGCCACCCUCCAAGUCCUGCUUCUCUCCAGAGAUGGGCAGGAGCACCAGCCCUCACCUGGCACCAGCACUUUACUGGGGGAACAUAAUAUGGUCUAAGAAGAGAUUUUUCCAGCAAGAGGCCAUCUCUGCAAAUCACCUGUGAGGCAGACCUGUGGCAAUUUUAUGACUCAGCUGGACACCGGGAUUGUAGCUGGGUUCUGCCCCUUAUUGAAACCUACUCAAUGUUCUCCUUCCCUAAGUAGGACAAGACCGUACCCUGCCUUUAAGGUUUAUAGAAUAGAAAGUGAAAACACUUUGGGGAAGAAAAUCUUCCUGAACUGAUAGCCCAGGGCAUUUUGAAAAUCCCUUAGGAAGUUCUCUGUUUCACUUGGGUACCUUUGUCCUUGGACUUUGGUGAUGUGGUUUGACCCCAGCUAGAGAGUGCAGGGAACAACAGCAAAAGGCAGGACAAAGACAGACUCGUGAGAGGAGGCCUAGGAACAGGGGGCCAUUGUGAAUGAGGAGGACGUGGGGGCCCAAGAAAGUGA